AUUGAACGCUGGCGGCAGGCCUAACACAUGCAAGUCGAGCGAGCGGCGGACGGGUGAGUAAUGUCUGGGAAACUGCCUGAUGGAGGGGGAUAACUACUGGAAACGGUAGCUAAUACCGCAUACCAUCAGAUGUGCCAAGAUGGGAUUAGCUGGUAGGUGGGGUAACGUCUCCCCUAGGCGACGAUCCGUAGCUGGUCUGAGAGGCUGAACAGACACACUGGAACUGAGACACGGUCCAGACGCCGACGGGAGGCAGCAGUGGGGAAUAUUGUACAAUGGGCGAAAGCCUGAUGCAGCCAUGCCGCGUGUGUGAAGAAGGCUUUCGGGUUGUAAAGCACUUUCAUCAGGGAGGCGUUACCCGCAGAAGAAGCACCGGCUAACUCCGUGCCAGCAGCCGCGGUAAUUC
rnacentral:rRNA from 1 species